GGACUCUGGCUGCUCCUCCGCGGACGUCCGAGGUAGCGACUGGGACGAGUCCAGCGUCGGAAUGCCCUAGGCACCGCCCACCCGAGGCGCCAGCUGCGGAAGGGCACGUCCCACUUCUCCGGUGCCCGGCGCCGCCGCGGGAAGGCGCGUCCUCUGCGCAGGCGUGAGCCACCUGGAACUCGUGACAGCCCUGGAGGUGGGCGCUGGUCCCACGACGCUUUCGUUGGGAGGACGUCCAUCUUACAGGGGAGGAAAUCGGGGCAGGCAGAGACAGACGGCGAUUUCCUUUUUUCCCUUUUUUGGUACCGCGGAUUGAACCCAGGGGCGCUUAAGACUGAGCCCCCAUCCUUAGCCCUUUUCUAUAUUUUAUUUAGACACAGGAGCUCACUGAGUUGCUUAGGGCCUCGCUAAGUUGCUGAGGCUGGCUUUGAACUCGGGAUCCUCCUCCCUCAGCCUCCCGAAGCGCCGGGAUCACAGGCGUGCACCACUGCACCUGGCAGAUUCAGCAGUUUUCUAAAAAGUCUCGGCUGCUCAGUGGCAGAGCUGAAAUUGGAACCCGUAACUGGGACAGAUCCGAGCUCUAAAUCGCCCCUGAUCUUCCACUCAUCGGGGACCCACGGGCUGGGGAAUUAAUUAGGCAGAUCUGGGCACAAACGCACAAAUCGGUUCUCUUGGGCCUCAGUUUUCUCAUUUUGAAAUGGAGCAUGGUGAUGGUGCUUCACAACCACUUGUAAGGCUUGGGCAGGAAGCUGCCUGGCCGGAUUCCUGGCCUGGAGUACUCCAGCAGCCACAGCAGCAGCAGAGACAAUGGUUAACAUUGUUGCUUUACAGCUGUCGGCAGGAAGCUCCUAUUUAGCACAAGUGAAGCUCUGUGUUCAACCCAGCACCAAAUAAAAUACCGACCAUGCUCACCAGAGAGGUGGCUCGUUUGUUCUUCAUCCAGCCUUAAGUCAUUGAGCCAGCCAUUAUCCCCGGCACUGGGGGGGCGGCACAGCAGAAAAUAAUACAGAGAAGAAGUUCUGCCUUCCUGAAGCCCCAGCCUAGUGGACAGAAAUGGAUCAGAAAGUGGUGCGAGAAGUUCCUGCCCGUGUGAACUCUCCCGGCGGCGCCAAUUUCAAAUCUCGCUGGCGGGGAACCUUAGCCCCAAUGAGAACUAAUUCCUGGGCUCCGGAGCUGAUAUCUGAAAGAACUUGCCAAUAAACGGGUGGCCUGCCAUUUAUCUAAGCCCUACCAUCUCCCCCUUAGUUCUAUAUAAGCACACAGCUUUUUGCAAUAAAAUUGGAAUUCUCCCGGCGAA